UACGUAGGGUGCAAGCGUUGUCCGGAAUUAUUGGGCGUAAAGGGCUCGUAGGCGGUUUGUCGCGUCGGGAGUGAAAACUCAGGGCUUAACCCUGAGCCUGCUUCCGAUACGGGCAGACUAGAGGUAUGCAGGGGAGAAUGGAAUUCCUGGUGUAGCGGUGAAAUGCGCAGAUAUCAGGAGGAACACCGAUGGCGAAGGCAGGUCUCUGGGCUGACACUGACGCUCAUGCACGAAAGUGUGGGGAUCAAACAGG
rnacentral:rRNA from 1 species